rnacentral:sRNA from 1 species
AUCAAUUAUUAUGUCAAAAGCAGAUUGCGACUUUUCUCUCUGAGAGAGACUUUUGGAGCGAUCUUCGAAUCUUUCUCUAUUUCUUCCUUUUUUCUCCAAAUCGGAGUGUGUUUCCGACGGAAAACCCCGUUAUUAGGACAGUUGAUUCCCACGGUUUCUCUCUGUCACAUUUACUCGGUGGCAUUUUACCUUUUCCAUGUUUUUCGAGGGAUAACCGUAUAGAGAAACCGCCAUGGAUUGACUCUUAUAUAUCUGUCGGAAUUUUAUCCAUUUCCUGUUCUUCAAUCUAUCCCUACUUCUAUUCCAAAAACCCAUUGAUCUCUGAUAUCACAACAAUGAGUGAUAACGUUCGUAAGUCACUACAAGAUAUCAAUUUAGGGAUUAAUGAUACGCCAGUUGCAUUACCGCCGGAAUUGUGUGGAAGAGCGGCCACCAUCAACUGUUUCUCCUUGAUUGUCACGGUGGUUAACCCUAGAAAGCAGAACCUCCUGGCGGUUGCGGGAUAGAUGCCUAGGAUUUGGGGAUUUGUAAUGAAUGUCGUGGCAGGAUAAUGGGCAACAACAAAGUUCUUUUCAUUUUCAACACGGAGGAAUCACUGAAACUUGUUCUCCAACGUGGACCUUGGGCUUUCAACGACUGGAUGAUAACAGUCCACUGGGGGUACCCCAUUCUAUACGUGCGUUCUUUUCUACCUCCUACAUGAAACCAAAUAUUAACCACACAAAUAUUUGUAUGAUACCAAAAACCAAUAACGCAAUGACUCUCUCAGAUUAUAGACCCAUUGCCUUAUGUAGUGUUCUCUAUAAAAUUAUUUCCAAAUGCUUAGUUAAUAGACUCAAACCUCAUUUGGAUUCGAUUAUUUCGGAUUCCUAAGCUGCCUUCAUACUUGGGAGACUAAUCACUUGUAAUAUAAUGAUUGCACAUGAAGUAAUGCA